GUUUUUAUAGUUUAAUGCAACGAUGGUUUUUCAAGUCAUUGGUCCUGGUGAAAAUCCAGGUAAAAAUU
rnacentral:tRNA from 1 species